rnacentral:ribozyme from 14 species
UUGCAAAUACUAUAACAACAAUGAAAACUUUGAUGUAAAGAGUUGAAAGAAAAGCCGCACGUAUUUUUAUUGUUUUUUAAUUACAUUUUUUGCUCCUUUUUGUUCUAAUUAAAAGAGAAGGGAAAAAAAAAAUGAUAAUA